AUUUCCCAUGGGCAUAAAGUUCAAGAUGCUUUACUGGUUCCUUUCGAGACUGAACUACAGACACAGGACUACCAUCCAAACAAUUUGAAAACGGGGGUUGUUGAGCAAGGCGCGCAAGGCAGAAGCAACCGAAUAAACAAAAACAACACUCGCAAGAGUUAGCCACAGCAAAGAGGGGCCAGGUUCCUCGGGAUCCGACCCAGCUGCUCUGAUUUCACACCGACCUCCAUCAACAGCUAAACUGCACAGGGAGGAGGAUCGAACGGAUCCCUCCCGCCCUCCGCCCAAGGAGCCGACCCGGGGUAGCAAGACCCCCGCCCCCGCCAGGCUAGGACGAGCAGCCGCCACCGCUGCCACCGCCACCACCGCCGCCGCAGCGCCUCAGUGCGGCCCCGCCUCCGCCGCCCCACCACCUUCACCACCUCCACGCUCCGGUACCGCCCCUCCCGCCAAUCGGACAGCUCCGGCUACGCCCCCAGGGCGCUAGCCCGCAGCCAAUGAGCAACGAGAGCCCGACUGGGAGUCGCGCCGGCCAAUCGCAGGGGCCGAGGAAGCCUUGAAUCUCCGGGCAAGUUAAGUUUAUCUCCGAGGCUCGGAACUGAAGGGAGGUGGCGGUUAGCUAAGUAGUAGGGUAGCAGGGAACAGUUUGCUCUCCUCUGCCAAUAAGAGGACGAGGGUGUGUCAUAUGCAAAUAUACUGCCCUCCAAGCCCCACCCCCAAGAUAAGCUACGCCCCCUUCUCUAGGUCCCUGCAGAAGUGACCUUCCUGAGGCAGCUGUUCGGAUACAUGCAGAGCACAGCGCCCUGCUCAGAAAGGAAGGUUCAGAGAACAAAUUGUCGUUUAAAACUAUUGGGACAAACCUACCUCUUCUAAAGCUUAAAAUGGUCUCCAGCGUACCAGGAUUUGUGAAGGCCUGAAGUUCGUAGAAUGAAAUCUAUGUGGAGAUGAUUUAAAAGAACGGUUUCACUGAGACCAACACAUAUAAACCAAGUCUACACAAGAAACAAAGCUAAAAUCCUUUCGAAAUGAGUUCCUUUAAGUUCUUCAGUAACUAAAUCCUCCAGAAAGGAAAGCCGAGAGAAUCUAGUCCUAUACAAUAACACCCUCUAACAAAGAUCGCUAAAGGAAGAUUUUAGUAGAUGAAUAUCUUCAAUAAUACAUGGUCACAUACAUGUAUCUGACCAUAUGAUGGCUCUCUGCACCAAAUUCCUCCAAACUAUUAUAAUAUGUAUUGUCUGUAGUGCUAUUUAUUUGGCAGUUAAUCAUGUAUUACAUUGUGACAUUUCUUACAGUGAACCAUUAUGUAUGUGUUUAUGUUCUGCCCUCAACUACUCAAUGCCAGUACCUUAUUCUUAACACAGCAACCACCCUUUCUGGUCUGUCCUCACACCCUCAUUCCCAUCAUAGUUAUUCUCCUCUCUCAUGGAAAUGUUCAGUUUCUGGACAUCUCCUUUCUCUUCCAUUCUUCACCUGACCUUCCUUCCUUUCUUGGCCAGCCUGAAUAUUAUAAAGGGAAUUUUAUUUCAAACCCAGGAUCGCACUUAAGAGGAAAAGAAACAAAAGCCAGUUCUUUUUAUUGCACAUAGAACAAGGAGAAACUCCACCCCUUUUGUUGUCUGGUAUGUUUAAAACAAGAAAGAACUUUAGAAAAGUAGGAUAUGAGUGAAAAUUACAACCAAUGUUGAGAACUACUUUUUAAUUUUUUAUUACAAAAUUAGGAUGAUACUUCAUUAAACAUUGUACAUCAUUUCAAAACUGUUAUCUCAUAAUCAUGUUGCUUGUUUUGAAUUAUUCUUUUAAAGUGUAAUUUUUUUAAGCAAAGAAUCCAUAAAAUUACAUGGCUUGGAUGUACCAUAACUUACUUAAUCCUUAUGCUAUUGUUUAAUAUGUGGGUUGUUUCAGAUUUUUCAUGAUUGUAAAUAACAAAAUAAACUUCCUUAUACUUAAGUUUCUGGCAGAA
rnacentral:lncRNA from 10 species